rnacentral:rRNA from 1 species
AUUGAACGCUGGCGGCAGGCUUAACACAUGCAAGUCGAGCGGAAACGAUGUAGCUUGCUACAGGCGUCGAGCGGCGGACGGGUGAGUAAUGCAUGAGAAUCUGCCUAGUAGUGGGGGAUAGCCCGGGGAAACUCGGAUUAAUACCGCAUACGCUCUUCGGAGGAAAGCAGGGGAUCUUCGGACCUUGCGCUAUUAGAUGAGCUCAUGUCAGAUUAGCUAGUUGGUGAGGUAAAGGCUCACCAAGGCGACGAUCUGUAGCUGGUCUGAGAGGAUGAUCAGCCACACUGGGACUGAGACACGGCCAGACUCCUACGGGAGGCAGCAGUGGGAAUAUUGCACAAUGGGCGCAAGCCUGAUGCAGCCAU